GCCCGGAUGGUCUAGUGGUAAGUUCGCCGAAGUAACCUUAAAGCAAAUCAACAUCCUCUAACAGUCAGAAUAGGUAGGAUUCGCCCUUCGGGUUAAGAUUCUCGGAUCCUUCAAAGAUCCUGAAUUGGGCGAGGUCCCCGGUUCAAUCCCGGGUUCGGGCC